rnacentral:rRNA from 1 species
CGGAGGGCGCAAGCGUUGUUCGGAAUCACUGGGCGUAAAGCGCGCGCAGGCGGGCUCGUAAGUCAGUAGUGAAAUUCCGCUGCUCAACGGCGGAGCGGCUACUGAUACUGCGGGUCUGGGGACCGGUAGAGGCCGGUGGAAUUGCUGGUGUAGCGGUGGAAUGCGUAGAGAUCAGCAAGAACACCCGUGGCGAAGGCGGCCGGCUGGGCCGGGUCCGACGCUGAGGCGCGAAAGCGUGGGGAGCAAACAGGAUUAGAUACCCUGGUAGUCCACGCUGUAAACGAUGGGCACUAGGUGCCGGGGGGAGCGACCCCUUCGGUGCCGUAGCUAACGCGCUAAGUGCCCCGCCUGGGGAGUACGGCCGCAAGGCUG